rnacentral:rRNA from 1 species
GACGAACGCUGGCGGCGUGCCUAAUACAUGCAAGUCGAACGCAGUGGGGACGGGUGAGUAACACGUGGGUAACCUCCCGUCAGAGGGGAUAAAACUUGGAAACAGGUGCUAAACCGAUACUGGUUGAUGGACCCGCGGUGCAUUAGCGAGUUGUUGAGGUAACGGCUCACCAAGGCAACGAUGCGUAGAGGACCUGAGAGGGUGACCGGCCACACUGGGACUGAGACACGGCCCAGACUCCUACGGGAGGCAGCAGUAGGGAAUUUUGGGCAAUGGACGAAAGUCUGACCGAGCAAUGCCGCGUGAGUGAAGAAGGUUUUCGGAUUGUAAAACUCUGUUGUUAGAGAAGCGGUAUCUAAACAGAAAGCCACGGCUAACUACGUGCCAGCAGCCGCGGUAAUAC